AUCAUGAACAGGGGUGAAGAACAAAUACAGCAAAGGUCUCUGAGCUGAAAUAACUGGACUUGCAAAUGUAACACUGCAGUGUGAGGAAUAAAAAGCUGUAUAAACAUAUACACUAAGCCAGUUAUUUUCUCCAAAUGACAAAGCUGUAAUGGUGAAAAGACAUUUUUUCCAGUUUUGUCACAGAAGUACACACUGAAAUUUAGACCAUUUUGCAGUCAGUGUAUAGUGGCUUCUUACUAAUUCUGCUAAAUCAAAAAGUACUGAACCCUUCAGAUGAAUGCCUUGUUCCUUCAUGGUGGCAAUUUACUCUGCUUUCCUCUUAGGCAUUAAUUCUGGAUUCUAUACAGAGGUAAACUGUUGUUGUUGUUGUUACUACUGUCAUAUAAACAGUAAAACAGAUUGUCAGAUUGUCUUUUAUUCCCAGCUAGAAACUCUUGCAACAGAUUUUUUUUUUUAAUAACUGUCUCUUUUCAUAAGUAGCACCUCAUGAGGAGAAAAAAAAUUCUAAAUAACCCAACAUGCAGUAUCAAUUCAAAAGGAUUAAAAGAAUUGAACAAUUAAUGAUUGCAAAGUAGGAGAAGGCUUUGUUCUGCAUUCUGAUUCCUACCGAACAGUACCUGAGCUUUCAUCACAGAUGUCAGGAAAAAAUAUGGAAACACGAGCCAGCUGAAAUCGUCUAUCAACUCUUUUAGAAACACAAAUACGCAAGAAUUGUGGUUUAUAACAGCUUUACUUUGAAUCUUAUUUUAGCUGACAACAGUCCUCUGAACCUCUGCUUUUGCCAGGAAUCUACUAAUGGACUCAGAGUUUUGCUUCUGCAGUGAUUUGGAGCAGGACCUAUGGGUGACGGGUUAGAAGACUAUCAUCACAGAGAUCUGUGCCUUCACAAGCAGGUGACAACAAAUUGUGGGAUGGGCCAAGAAUGAGCAACCAUGACCUGGAGCCAUGGC